GUACGGUCAUAAUGGGACUAAUUUGGAAGAUCAAAGUGACUAGCUAGCUACCUGAUGAAGAAAUCACACAAUGAUUUUCUUGUCAUUACUCAUAUCUUUGGCUAUCAGAGAAAGUGGAAUAGCAAGAGCAGAAGAGAACAAAUCCAUCAGUUCUUGGAGUGCUUAGGGCUUUGCCCCAGCUAGUUUGGCAUUAGGCCCAAACACAGUGCCCAGGCUGCACUGACCUUAAGGUGGAAAUAAAGUUGCGUGCUUUUCACAGCAUUUUGGAUCAGUCAGCUACCAUUUGUUGAUGACUAUGAUGAGGAACUGAUCAAUUAAUAAAGGUAAUUGAAUGGUAUAUAUAUUUUCUUAUUUUCUCCAAGGGACACCAAAAGCUGCCAUGGGCUAGUAACUAUGAGCCUUUCUGAGAGGGGGCUUUCGACAUUUUCACCUUUUUUAUUGCAAUUUGUGUGUAAAUUUCACCCCAGAGGAAGCCAGUCUCCAUAUUUCCAGCAUUCUGAUGGCUAUUGAGAAUCCCUAUUUCUAUGUCCUUGGCCUUUCCCGUGUGACAGAGAGUGUGAGGCAUGGAUGAUGACUUCCCUGUUAAGCAGGCCACAGAAAAAGAACACUGCUUUUCAGAGAGGGGGAAGAAAACAAGACCCCAAAGAGGAACCGUGGAAUCUUCACUCAUUGAAAAUUGUCACUUGGGAAGUGUUGGCAGCAGAGCGACAAUAUUGUGAUUAUCCCAGUCUGGGAAUUAUUUUAAAGAAGUUUCCACAAAAUUUCUUGUUGCACUCUCACUGUCUUCCUCCUCCCCCUUUCCCUCCUAAUCACGGGUGUAAUAAUCGUGCUUUCUAGUGCCACUUUGAUUACGCAUCUUUCCAUCUUUUUUGGAUCUGUACGUUUUUUCAUUACAAGCUGUACAUUAAGUGAUUUAUCUCUUGGCCAGGCUUUUAGGAGGCUGUGAUUUGGCACAGAUGUGGCUUAGCCUAGCGAAGAGUUGUUGGACAAGCAAUACCUGGCCAUAGCGCUAUUGUACAGGUGUGGGCGCACAGAGAAGUGCUGGGAGGAACUGUGGCCGGUCAAGCCCCUUUAGAGCAGGGACCCUCUGCAAAAC
rnacentral:lncRNA from 1 species